rnacentral:rRNA from 1 species
CAGUAGCCGCGGGAAUACAGAGGGUGCAAGCGUUAAUCGGAAUUACUGGGCGUAAAGCGCGCGUAGGUGGUUUGUUAAGUUGGAUAUGAAAUCCCCGGGCUAAACCUGGGAACUGCAUCCAAAACUGGCAAGCUAGAGUAUGGUAGAGGGUGGUGGAAUUUCCUGUGUAGCGGUGAAAUGCGUAGAUAUAGGAAGGAACACCAGUGGCGAAGGCGACCACCUGGACUGAUACUGACACUGAGGUGCGAAAGCGUGGGGAGCAAACAGGAUUAGAUACCCGCGUAGUCCCUGUCUCUUAUAC